CAAAUUACCCACUCCCGGCACGGGGAGGUAGUGACGAAAAAUAACGAUACGGGACUCAUCCGAGGCCCCGUAAUCGGAAUGAGUACACUCUAAACCCUUUAACGAGGAUCAAUUGGAGGGCAAGUCUGGUGCCAGCAGCCGCGGUAAUUCCAGCUCCAAUAGCGUAUAUUAAAGUUGUUGCGGUUAAAAAGCUCGUAGUCGAAUCUGUGUCUCGCGCCGCCGGUUCAUCGCUCGCGGUGUUUAACUGGCGUGUCGCGGGACGUCCUGCCGGUGGGCUUAGCCUCCUUCGCGGGGGGCGGCCCAACUACGCAUCCCGCCGCGGUGCUCUUCGCUGAGUGUCGAGGUGGGCCGGCACGUUUACUUUGAACAAAUUAGAGUGCUUAAAGCAGGCUCAAACUUCGCCUGAAUAUUCUGUGCAUGGAAUAAUGGAAUAGGACCUCGGUUCUAUUUUGUUGGUUUUCGGAACCCCGAGGUAAUGAUUAAUAGGAACGGAUGGGGGCAUUCGUAUUGCGACGUUAGAGGUGAAAUUCUUGGAUCGUCGCAAGACGGACGGAAGCGAAAGCAUUUGCCAAAAACGUUUUCAUUGAUCAAGAACGAAAGUUAGAGGUUCGAAGGCGAUCAGAUACCGCCCUAGUUCUAACCAUAAACGAUGCCAGCUAGCGAUCCGCCGACGUUCCUCCGAUGACUCGGCGGGCAGCUUCCGGGAAACCAAAGCUUUUGGGUUCCGGGGGAAGUAUGGUUGCAAAGCUGAAACUUAAAGGAAUUGACGGAAGGGCACCACCAGGAGUGGAGCCUGCGGCUUAAUUUGACUCAACACGGGAAACCUCACCAGGCCCGGACACCGGAAGGAUUGACAGAUUGAGAGCUCUUUCUUGAUUCGGUGGGUGGUGGUGCAUGGCCGUUCUUAGUUGGUGGAGCGAUUUGUCUGGUUAAUUCCGAUAACGAACGAGACUCUAGCCUGCUAACUAGGCGUAUUUUCGACAUCUGAAAGGCCCCUCGGCCCGGCGCUCUCGCGUCGCGGUCGCGCGCGGUUUUUACUGUCGGCGUACAAUCAAUUCUUCUUAGAGGGACAGGCGGCUUCUAGCCGCACGAGAUUGAGCAAUAACAGGUCUGUGAUGCCCUUAGAUGUUCUGGGCCGCACGCGCGCUACACUGAAGGAAUCAGCGUGUCCUCCCUGGCCGAGAGGCCCGGGUAACCCGCUGAACCUCCUUCGUGCUAGGGAUUGGGGCUUGCAAUUGUUCCCCAUGAACGAGGAAUUCCCAGUAAGCGCGAGUCAUAAGCUCGCGUUGAUUACGUCCCUGCCCUUUGUACACACCGCCCGUCGCUACUACCGAUUGAAUGAUUUAGUGAGGUCUUCGGACCGGUACGCGGCGGCGCUCCCGCGUCGCCGAUGUUGCUGGGAAGAUGACCAA
rnacentral:rRNA from 1 species